CUUUGAUUUCCGGCGAACGCUUUCUCUACGACUUUUGAUGUGACUCUAAACGAAACUCAAAAUUUUCAUCAGUUUCACGUUCUUCUUAAUUUGGGCUCCAAACGUGACUAGAUCUCGCUCUUAAUUAAAAUCAACUCUGCCACCCGAUUGAAUUACGCAUUACAUUAGGUGAAGCAGCGACCUUGACCGCGUUAUCGAAAUUGUUCGCAGCUACUUGUCUUUUUGUGAUGCAGUUGAUCCUUGAACAAAUUCAACAAUAAACGUAUUAGCAAAUGUAAUAAAUUGGACAGAAGCAUUUGAAAAGUUUCGUAAUAGAGAAGUUUCUGCUGGAAAUUGGAAAGAUUUCGAAUCGUGCGUUUUUCUUUGGUUUCUUUCUUUGGUUGCUGACAUUCUAUCGAAUUAGUCGAACGUGGAAUCUGUGAAGGAAUGUAAACACAGAAAAAAACAUUUUGAAAUUUUAUAACGAGAUACGACACGCUAUAAUACCAAUACUAGUUAAGUGGGAAUAAGUGAAACGAAUAUUAAGACGACGUGUUUCUAACACCGCUUCACGGACUAAUUACCUUGUCUUCAGUCGCAGUUUCUCACUGUUCAUCGAAGUAGGACAAAGGAAUUCGUCAAGUGCAAAUUCGGCACGCGUAAAUUUCAUGAUGAUCAUCUUCAAGACAAAUGCUAUGACAAAACGUGUUUGCAAACUGGGAACACUGAGUACACGAGGAAAAAGUUUGCAUAAGAAAUCCGUGGAGCAAAUAAACUAAGCAUUGCGAUAGUAUUAGACCAUCCCAUGUGUACUUAAGCAUGUGAAGAGGUUUCUGUGUAAACUAAAUUCGAAACAAUGUAAUUCGUUACGAUAAGAGGUUUAUGGAAAAAGAGUAAAAAACAGCACGUAAAUUAACGUAUGUUAGAUCGAUAGGUAGAAAAACGAGGACUUUCAUAAUUCGGUAUCCGAUAUUACACGUUGCACAGUGACAAAGAACACGCGUAUUUCUACGGAUAACAAUAAUUUAUUUAUAAAUACACUGAAAAUUGUCAAUAUUGUCCACAGUAAAGCUUACAUACGCAACGGAAACAGUACUGUUUCCUUUUCGCUCGUAAUUAACCUCGUGUUUAUAUCCCCUACAUUCUAUUCAUAUUUUUUAACAUAUCUUUUUUUUCGAGUUUCUUUUUUUCUUUUGCGUUGCUUCCAUUAAUAUAGACUUUACGAGUCGGACAAUGUUCGCCGCUCCGCGCCUUGGACCCAUAAGUAUUCUUCUGUGAGAUCUUCCAGUUCUUUUCCUUUAGCUAACUUGCAGCGUUUCCUUCCUUCUGACUAUCUCUUGAAAACUGUCUGUCAAAUGAAUUAUAUGUAAUUCAAGUACUACGAUAUCUGCUCUUUUCUCUACUCUAAUCGCGACACAUUUUUCUGUAUAUUAUUAUAAAGAAAUUAUUUAGAGUCUUAUAUGUUCAUUCUGUUUUACUAAAAAAAUUAUUGGCGAAAAAAUGUCUAACCUAAACCUCUAUGUACUACAAUAUACUAGGUAUUAAAGAGAGAAACGAAUACGAUGCUUAUUUUUUUUUUUAAUAAUAUUUAAAUAAUCGAGCAUAAAUAACACUCUGUAUAACAUAGCUAUAUAUAAAUAUGUUUUAUAUGUUAAAAAUAAUUAUCAAUUUAUUUACGUACACUGUCUUUGUCAGGACUUCGUAAUAUUUGCGAACUACGGCCAACCUAUUUCCUUCUUUACGCGAAUAAAUAUAUACACCAUUGUUUUUAGUCUUUUCACGCCUCUUUUGUCAGAAGAACGUUUACGAACGUCCAGGAACGCUUACGAAACUCACGAUUAGAUAAUAAACGCGUUAGAGAUGCCGACACUAUUUCUGUGAUUACUAGAUAGGUAAAGUCCUGUUGUCGUAGAAAUCCAUAUUUACAAACAAACGCAAUAAAUUAAAAGAAGCUCAAAAUCGUAAUCGAGACAGGAUUUGGAAGAAACAAUUUACAGCCGCACCUGCUCGUCCCUUUCCCAUAUUUCUUUUAUCACUAUCAAACUGAACGGUAUAAAUUAUAUAACCAGCAACGGAUUUUCGUAUUCUCGACAAUAAAUACAUAACAGGCGUUGAACAGAGAAGAAACCCACGACCGCGUUCGUUCUCCUUCGAUUCAACGAUCGAAGUUUUAGAAUCGUAUUUUGCGAAAUCGAAUCGACCAUCUGAAACAAGCGUAAGGAGAUCUAAUCCUGAUACGGUCCUGAUUUCACGAAUUUUUAUGGCCCAAUCUCACUUUCGUUCGAAUAAAGGGAUCUUUUCUUAAAUUUUACUACGAGAUGAUCAUUCGUAUCGAAAACGAUUCUUUCACAUUUUUCUUCCAGCUUAAAACAUAUUUUAACUAUAGGAAAACACGAUUGAUAGCAAGGUUGGCAAAAGAAAUCGAAGAAUUUAGAAACUCCUAGCAAUCACGCAGAAUGUAUCUGUAUCGUUGUAUACAGGCCGAUCUUCGAGUAACCUCGUGAAUCAAAUUUCAAAAAUUCUUAUUACUAAAUUGCGAAUUUAAUUACAUUUUUAUAUACAUUUUAUAUAUUAUCGAUUUUACGUUUAACUACUGUUCAAUUUUCUAAAUAAAAAGGGUAUCUGCAUUUCCAUCAAAUAAAGCUUGGUUAUAUAAAAAAAAAAAA